CAAUUAUUGUCAACCUUAGGAACAUUAAUGGGCCCAAAAAUGUAUCUCUCCUCUUAUUACAGUGGAAGGUACUGAUGCUCAAUAUAUCUCAAAAGGGACAGCUGUCUGUAAAGGGCGCAAAGUGAACAACGAUAAUGAACAGAUUCACCUUAGAACUAAGAAGAUAUCAUGCAGACUUAAAUAUGCCCCGUCAUGAGAGGGGUGCCAGACCCAGAGCCUUAAGGACACGAUCUUAGAUGUGGUCACUGUUUGUACAUAUUGGACAGAACUUUGUUAGAACUGCAUGAAUCGAGCAACAAUAUGCAGGAUCCCAAGAACUCACAAUUGACAGCCAGAUAUGUUGAAUUCUAUAAUGACUUACCAUUCAACCUUUUUCGUUACAAAAAGUAUUUUCUUU